rnacentral:rRNA from 1 species
GUAGGUGGCAAGCGUUGUCCGGAAUUAUUGGGCGUAAAGCGCGCGCAGGUGGGUUCUUUAAGUCUGAUGUGAAAGCCCCCGGGCUCAACCGGGGAGGGUCAUUGGAAACUGGGGAACUUGAGUGCAGGAGAGGAAAGUGGAAUUCCACGUGUAGCGGUGAAAUGCGUAGAUAUGUGGAGGAACACCAGUGGCGAAGGCGACUUUCUGGCCUGUAACUGACGCUGAGGCGCGAAAGCGUGGGGAGCAAACAGGAUUAGAUACCCUGGUAGUCCACGCCGUAAACGAUGAGUGCUAAGUGUUGGGGGGUUUCCGCCCCUCAGUGCUGCAGCUAACGCAUUAAGCACUCCGCCUGGGGAGUACGGUCGCAAGACUG